GUUUCCGUAGGUGAACCUUCGGAAGGAUCAUUAUCGAGUUUUGACUGUGUUGUAGCUGGCCUUCCGAGGCAUGUGCACGCCCUGCUCAUCCACUCUACACCUGUGCACUUACUGUGGGUAUCAGAUCGUGAAGCGUGCUCUUUUACCGGAGCUCGUGACGUGUGUCUGUGCCUGCGUUUAUCACAAACACUAUAAAGUAUCAGAAUGUGUAUUAUGAUGUAACGCAUCUAUAUACAACUUUCAGCAACGGAUCUCUUGGCUCUC
rnacentral:misc_RNA from 1 species